rnacentral:rRNA from 1 species
CCUACGGGUGGCAGCAGUAGGGCAUUUUGCGCAAUGGGCGAAAGCCUGACGCAGCAACGCCGCGUGAACGAGACGCCCUUCGGGGUGUAAAGUUCUGUCAGUGGGGACGAAAAAUGACGGUACCCACAGAGGAAGCAACGGCUAACUCCGUGCCAGCAGCCGCGGUAAUACGGAGGGUGCAAGCGUUGUCCGGAAGCAUUGGGCGUAAAGAGUUCGUAGGCGGCAUUGAAAGUCAGGUGUUAAAGGCGCAGGCUCAACCUGUGUAUGGCACGUGAUACUUUCAAGCUGGAAUGCGGUAGAGGUAAAGGGAAUUCCUGGUUGAGCGGUGCAAUGCUUAGAGAUCAGGAGGAACAUCGGUGGCGUAAGCGCUUUACUGGGCCAUAAUUGACGCUGAGGAACGAAAGCCAGGGUAGCAAAUGGGAUUAGAUACCCUAGUAGUC